rnacentral:rRNA from 1 species
GGAGGGUGCAAGCGUUAAUCGGAAUUACUGGGCGUAAAGCGCACGCAGGCGGUCUGUCAAGUCGGAUGUGAAAUCCCCGGGCUCAACCUGGGAACUGCAUUCGAAACUGGCAGGCUAGAGUCUUGUAGAGGGGGGUAGAAUUCCAGGUGUAGCGGUGAAAUGCGUAGAGAUCUGGAGGAAUACCGGUGGCGAAGGCGGCCCCCUGGACAAAGACUGACGCUCAGGUGCGAAAGCGUGGGGAGCAAACAGGAUUAGAUACCCUGGUAGUCCACGCCGUAAACGAUGUCGAUUUGGAGGUUGUGCCCUUGAGGCGUGGCUUCCGGAGCUAACGCGUUAAAUCGACCGCCUGGGGAGUACGGCCGCAAGGUUA